rnacentral:rRNA from 1 species
AUUGAACGCUGGCGGCAGGCCUAACACAUGCAAGUCGAACGAGUGGCGGACGGGUGAGUAAUGUCUGGGAAACUGCCUGAUGGAUGGGGAUAACUACUGGAAACGGUAGCUAAUACCGCAUACCAUCGGAUGUGCCCAGAUGGGAGUAGCUAGUAGCUGGGGUAAAGGCUCACCUAGGCGACGAUCCCUAGCUGGUCUGAGAGGUUGACCAGCCACACUGGAACUGAGACACGGUCCAGACUCCUACGGGAGGCAGCAGUAGGGAAUAUUGCACAAUGGGCGCAAGCCUGAUGCAGCCAUGCCGCGUGUGUGAAGAAGGCCUUCGGAUUGUAAAGUACUGUCAGCGGGGAGGCGUUACCCGAAGAAGAAGCACCGGCUAACUCCGUGCCAGCAGCCGCGGUAAUAC